rnacentral:rRNA from 1 species
UACGAAGGGGGCUAGCGUUGCUCGGAAUCACUGGGCGUAAAGCGCACGUAGGCGGACUCUUAAGUCGGUGGUGAAAUCCUGGAGCUCAACUCCAGAACUGCCUUUGAUACUGAAGAUCUUGAGUGCGGGAGAGGUGAGUGGAACUGCGAGUGUAGAGGUGAAAUUCGUAGAUAUUCGCAAGAACACCAGUGGCGAAGGCGGCUCACUGGCCCGGUACUGACGCUGAGGUGCGAAAGCGUGGGGAGCAAACAGG